rnacentral:rRNA from 1 species
UACGUAGGUGGCAAGCGUUGUCCGGAUUUACUGGGCGUAAAGAGCGCGCAGGCGGUCGUUCAAGUCGCGUGUGAAAGCCCCCGGCUCAACUGGGGAGGGUCACGCGAUACUGAUCGACUCGAAGGCAGGAGAGGGAAGUGGAAUUCCCGGUGUAGUGGUGAAAUGCGUAGAUAUCGGGAGGAACACCAGUGGCGAAGGCGACUUCCUGGCCUGUUCUUGACGCUGAGGCGCGACAGCUAGGGGAGCAAACGGG